AGCUGGAAACUUAGACAAUGAGAGGUCCACCAACACAUUGUUUAUUUUUUUGGGGGGGGAUAAAUAAAAUAUUCUUGAAUUUUAAUUGUAAUCAAAAUUAGUAAGUUGCAAAAGACUAAAUCUCACAUCAGCAGGUCAAACGUUUCCAAAAUCCAUCGGAAAUUCGCCACAAAUCUCUGAUUUAUGCAUUUCUUCCUAAAAUAACUUGGUAAUUUGGAGCAGCUCAUGUAGGAUUAGCAUUUCAAACAGUGAUUCUCAUUAUUCUAUUAAAUAAGUGUCAGAAAAAUCCUCACACCUCCAGUUUGGAAAGGGAUUAUCUGGGCAAUGAACCAAAAACAUGACUCGUCAAACUCAACAUGAGUUAAGUUAAGCCUUUAAUGUUUCUGCUUUGUUGGAUCUUGUCAUCUCCAAGCAGCAAUGCAGCCAUCUGCUCUGUUUUUGUGUGGGAUCUUUUCUUUAAUAGAAACGGAUGUGACAAGAGGCCGACUAGGGGUGGGGGGGCCAAGAGCAUCUGAAAUAUGAUUAACAGUCUAGUGGGAUCACACAAAUGAGGGAUGCACUUCUGUUUGGAUAAAUUCUCCUUUUACAACCUUUGUAACAACCUAAUUAGAAUUAGGCCACCACACAGACUUUGAUGAUUAAUUUUUGCUGGUGUAACUGAGCAUGAAUUGCAUCUUUUCUGAAAGAACUAUUUUAUUUUUUUAUCCAGUUCCUUGCUCCAAAAUAGCACCUAUGAACAGUUUGAUAUAUUCUACACAAACACAAAAAUGAUAUCUAAAAUAAACUGCAGUCUAAUGGUUUAAAAGAAACAGCAAUUAAACUGUUGUUAAUGUUUAACAUAAUUCAUACUGUAAAUGUGUUAUAUUGAGCAUUUAUGAAACCCAGCAACAUUUUCUUUUGUCUUUGUGUGUGAAAUGCAUGAACACUACUUUGCUCACACCAGCAACAUCUAAUACAUCUAACAUCUACUCUACUUUAUUUACUCUACUAUCAUUGUUACUUUUACAAAAGUCUGCAAAAUCUUUAUUUUUUAAAUUACACUCCUAAAUUAUUUGUAAUGUCACUUUGCAUUCAUCACAGGAGAGUGUGAUGAGGCAGCAAACCAUAAAAUCAUUUUGUCGAACACUAAUAUCUGUUGUUUUCUGCUUCUCCGAGAUUAGUUUGUGAAAGUAACAGAUCAAAUCCCAGACAUUCCUCUCCAGCUCAGUGUAGAGAAUCACAAGGCAUUCCCAGGCACGAAUGGAUCUAAAAUCUCUCCAGCAAGUUAUGGAUGGGGAAACAGCAGCUGUACUCCACCCUGCUCCACGACGACUGACCUAGGAAACAAAAUCUUCUUCUACACAGGUGUUAUGAGCAAUUUCAUUGGCAGCAUGGCAACAGUCUGCAUUCGUUGAUUAGCGACUGGAAUCUGAGUCUUUGUGUAGCACAGUCAUCUGGUUGAGAGCAUCUGCAUUCGAGACUUCCUCUAGCUGCUCCGCCUGACUUCCUGUUGGCUCCCCAGCAAGAGAAUGGCACCAAAAUUACUACCAGAUGCAGAGCUUCAGUGAUUUUCAAGUUUUUACUGGUGUUGCCUCGAGAGCGGUGUCGACGGGGCAGUUAACACUCUGACUUAUUGAAGGUCAGAGGUUCAAUGCCGAGCACCUUUCAGCUGUGAUUGUUGGUCACUGACCCUGGAGGGGAACGACAUUCUGACUGACCUCGACUUCCUAACAAGCUGUGAUAAACCAAACAACAACUGGUUCAAUGCAGUUAAUCUUAAUGAAAGUUAAUUAACAGGGAAUGAAUACAAAUCCAUGUCGCAAUAUUUAUUUUUUUCAUAAAAGACAUUAGUAAUUUUUUUCCACUUCACUAUUAUCUGCUGCUUUUUAUUAAGACACUCAGACUAAGAGCUUUAAAUGGAAGCUUUAUAUUUACCAUGUUAAAAUCCAUUUAUGCUCACAGUGUGUCAGCAUCUGUUCAUGUCUCAAAUCUUUUGUUUAGCCAUUUAAGUUUUGUUUAGCCUUUUAAGUCAACCAUGCAUUAUGUUUGCAUUUUAUUACUGAAUAAGAAGUCUACAAUUAUUUUUGAAAAUGGGUGACCCUGAUCUUGAGGGUAUCUUCUUCUUGGAGAUAACUGCAGAUGGGGGCAGCAUUUAAAGUGUCACAAUGUCACUGUGCAGCAAGAGGAGCACACAAAAAUAGACAAAAGCAACUACAAGCCAAAUUUCUCCAACCUAAUCCCCGACUCCAGCUCUGCAGCAGUUCGGUUCUACACUUCAGAGCCAAAUUUGUGUGAAAGGAGACACACAGAAGAAAGCAGCCCUUAUCCAGACCUCAGUUCACUCUGUCUGCCCCUUAUACUAAGUCUCAGAAUACAAGUCCCAGCGCUGAACAAAUCCCCCUGCUUCUCUGUUCAGCUUUAAUCCUCUAAUGAUUAGCACAAUUUUGGAUUCAUGGGGCCGUGCAGCUGAUGUCGCUGUGAGUUCUUCGCCUGUCUCUAUCAAACCCGGUCUCUCUCUGUAGCCCAGGCUGCUGCAACACGUGUGCUCAAAGAUAAGAGAACUUUAGAUGAGCCCAAUCAAUAGCUGGGUAGAGAUGAACCGGUCGAGCGUCUUAGAGCAAGAUGUCAGCUGUCAGUUUCUGUGUUGGUCCUCCUAAUUAUCAGCUGGUUUAUUGGAUUUUCCACUGGAUGUUCUGUCCACUAAACUAAAAAUCAAUCCAGACUGAAAGAAAAAACCCAACAGAUCAGAUUGACUUGUGCAUCAUUUUGACUUGCCCCAAGCUCUCCUCUCCUCAAAGAUCCUCUUUGUAUUGAAAUUGAAUACUACCAAGACAAAUAGUAUUGACUGCAAUAGUAGUACUAUUUGUACAGAGAUAGACAAGAACGCUUGUCUAUCUCUGUCAAGCCAUAUCGAAGAGGGCCAUUUCAUCACCAUAUAUGGUUAAAUCCAGGCAUAAGCUGAAGAAUCCUACCCAGCUUUCAAUCAUUUGCUGUAUCCAGCAUCCGGCUACGCAGGACCAGGCUGCAAAGUGUCUCCAUGGCAACAUGGGCGUAAACCAGUCUCAAGGGAGAAGCCUAUUGGAGGAAAGGGUUAAAUCUGGUGGACAUGGAGAGGUGGCACGCUGAGUGAGGUGGAGUUAGAUGGACACGAUUUAUGUUUAUCAGAAUGCAGCAGCAUCUGAUUACAGCAGUAAAACAGUCUUUUCCCCUAAACAGCAUUGAUUAAGCUAAAUUAGAAUAAAAUACCAAUUCACUUGCAGUAGAAUAGAGACAACUAAUGUUUUAGGGGUUCAAAUAAAUAUUUUAUUUGUGUGAGCCUUUGAAACAACUUGCACAAGUUCUAAAAGUAGAUAAGAUUUCACCUUGCCUAAAAUUGAAACAAGGAAAAGACCAAGAUGACAGAACUGCCAUUGCUAUUUGUCAAGCCUCUGUAAUGCCAGUUAUUUUCUGGUUUCAAUCUAGUCAGGGAAUCAUAUUCUGACUUCAGAAAACGAUACAUUUUCUGAGUAUUUUAGCUUUCUAACUUUAUACCGCUGUUUUCAAAGCUGUACAUUGAUGCUAUAGCAGCAAAUUUAAAAUGUGUUAGCCAAACAAAUGCAAUCACCAUCAAAGUUAAAAUAAAAUUUGAAUUAACCUCUUAAAAGCUAUAGAGUGAAAUGUCACAGUUUUGAGCUUCUUAGAGUGUGCCACUUUUGAUCCUAUUUCUAUACUCCUUAGUGUACAAGAGGGAUUUGUGAGCUGCAAAUAGGUGGACUGUUUAAUUAUCUAAAGUCUUCUGUGGGACAUGCUAAGAUAAAGUUAAUCUAGCAGUUCUGGAGCUUAAAAUAUUACCACUUAACUAAUUGCUUCAUUAGUGAUAGUGAGCUUUGAGAGACUUUCUGCAUUUUCUUUUUUGCUGAGCAUUCUUGUUGUAGCUGUUGCUAUGGUUACAGUGCCUGUAUGCUCUCAGAAGAUUUUAAUAUGAACAGAUCAGUAGUGUUGUCACAGGCAGUUUUAUUUUCUGAAAAACAGAGAGAGAAAUAAAAUCUCCUUUAGUCUCAAAACAGGCUUGCAGAGCAGCAGGCUUUGCAGGGGGGAGCGAUAAUUCCCCUAUAGUCCAUAUAUGGACACAUUUGGAAACAUUGUUUUGCACAUUUCUGAUGCAAUGUCUGUUACGUUAUCUUUUUCCAACCUUGGAAUGCUGGUAGCACGAAUGUGAGCCAUACUCAGCAACAUCUCUGUUGCAAAACACUGAACACGGUGAGUACAAUAAAUUUCUGCCUGAUUGGCCAUCAAUUUUUAACUACUACUUUCCUACCUUUGUGUAGGAGCUUGCUGUGCUGAAGCCAGUUUUUAUGUAAACAGUCACAGUGGGGGGGGGGAAAUAUGGUUCCAUCUGAACUUAACUGUUUAUCUCUUGAUUUAAAAAAAAAUCAUGUUGAACAUUUAAAGUUAAUAUUCAGUUUUAUCUUAUUUUGACUGCAAAUUUCAAGCAUCCUUAACAAGAACGUCCCACUGCAGAUGUCUCACGCACAGAUAUAUGGCUUUAGCUUUUUACAAUGUCAAAGUGCAACUUCCAUUAUGAUGAUUAUUAAUCACCAAACAACUUCAGAAGAGAUGGCUAAUCCAAACUUAAACUAUUGCUUUUCCUUAUUUCCUGCAACAAACACCUGUGCUGCAGUGCAAACAUUACCUUGUCCUCAUAAACAGGAACAAGUGUCGAUUCAUUUGAAACUGAAAUUUUUCUUAACACCAUUGCUUAUAAAAAAUUUGUUUGCAUUUGGUUGCUGUUGGUGCAAAGAAGCUGUUGCUGUCCUUUAAGGCAUGACACAAAGAUUAAAAUAUAGUAUGUGUCGACAGGAAAUGAGUCUGUGUUUAACUCUCACGAUGACACUGAUGUCCUCAUUGACUUACAUGUAAGCAUUUUGAGGGCCACUUAAAGGGUUAAAAGAUUACCUUUCAACUUCUCUAGAAAAAGAGUUCACCUUUAAGAUACACGCUAAAUGACGCUUUGUUUUUAUCACUAAUGUUCUUGUCACUCGGGUUGUGGACAUAUUAAUCUCAUUUUUACAAUUUUAUUUUUUGGCUUUGUUAUGCGUUUCUGGUCGUAAAAGAGAAAGAAAAUGACAGACAACCAUCAGGGUUGAUGGUGCAAAUAUCAAACCUAUUGAGGUUUCUCGCUUUAGAAGUGCAAUGGUGGCAAUAAAAGAGAAGUGGAGAGAGUCUAAUUUUGGUUUUUACAAAUCUUUUAUAGGUUUAAACUGAAAAAUAUGUAAAACUGCCUCUAAUUCAUCUCUAGUUUCCCAGUACACAGCAGCCUCUUACUGGAAUGGGGCUAAAAGGAUCACUUUUACAGGAAAUGCUGAUACUUUUAUUUUUUUUAAACAAAUUGAAUGGCUUAAAUGAAAAGUGAACACUUGGACUGACUGGCACUGAGUAACCAUGAAAACGAAGCUGUUUGUCUGCUUUCAAAGGGCCUUUGUUAGCUUCAUUAAUGCCAACACAUGAAUUGAGGAACUAUUCAAACACUGUUAAAUGAUAAAUAAUGCUUGACAGAUCUGCAUUUUCUUGAAAGGCUAAUUAUAUCUAGAGAACUUGUGAAACAGACAGAACAACGUCUCUGUUAAUCAAGUCGCAGCUGCAUUCAUCAUACUGAGCCUUAAGACACCAAAUAAAAGCUGAUUCUGAACUCUGAAGCAAAACAGACAGAGUCGAAUGAUACAGUACACAAGAAUGACAACUCAAAAAAUGUUUUGUAAAAGGUAAAAUUUGGUUGUGCAUUUUAAAGGUGCUCUGCUCAAUUUAAAAUGAGCAGAGCACAUUUUAAAUUUUUAGGUUUUCCAAAGCUUCAGCCAGCUUUCUGAUUGUCUGUACCUGCUUUUCUUGUAGGGUUGUGGGGGUACUGGUGCUAGCUCCAGCUUUAAUUGGGUAAAAGGUGGGGUUCACUCUUUAGGGGGAAACAGUGACACACAGCACAACAAUGAGCAAGCACACACACACACGUCCACACGGAGAGCAAUUUAGAGACACUAAUUAACUUAAGAGUCAUAGUUUUAGACUGUGGGGGAGGAAAAAUGAACAACAUUAAAUACAUUUUUUGAAGCCUUCCUGCUGUAAAUGGUCAUUAAUAUUUAGGAUGACAUACAGUGUGUAAUAAAAGGAUAUUAUGAACAGCUCACUAGUGAUAAGACAUGAUACACUAUUUUAUAUGCAUCUAAGAAAACCUCUAGGUCUCCCUUUGUAAUUGUAAUGUUUGAUUUUAUGUCUGUACUGUUUAAAGUUUAAAAAAUAAACUACAUAAAAAUGACAAGA